rnacentral:rRNA from 1 species
AGCAGUCGCCGCGGGAACACGGAGGGUGCAAGCGUUAUCCGGAUUUAUUGGGUUUAAAGGGUCCGUAGGCGGACUUAUAAGUCAGUGGUGAAAGCCUGUCGCUUAACGAUAGAACUGCCAUUGAUACUGUAAGUCUUGAGUAUAUUUGAGGUAGCUGGAAUAAGUAGUGUAGCGGUGAAAUGCAUAGAUAUUACUUAGAACACCAAUUGCGAAGGCAGGUUACCAAGAUAUAACUGACGCUGAGGGACGAAAGCGUGGGUAGCGAACAGGAUUAGAUACCCCAGUAGUCCCUGUCUCUUAUAA